rnacentral:tRNA from 1 species
GCCGGGGUGGCGGAAUUGGUAGACGCAAGGGACUUAAAAUCCCUCGUUCCGUUGUGAACGUGCCGGUUCGAUUCCGGCCCUCGGCACCA